AGAUAUUCGCGUUACCACUCUUGUUAAAGAGUACGCUGUCAUCCACAGAGAGCGGUCCUCUUACGUCUUUCUAGACUAGAUAGGGGAGGAAGAAAUAGAUAUCCCAGAUGGGGUUAGGGAAACAAAUACCCCUUAGAGAUAAAAAGUCUAACGAGACACUUGAUGCAUUAUGCAUGUCAAUAUAGAUACAUACUUGGACCAUUCAUGCUUCAUUCUACAUUUUUCUUUUUUUUUUUGUUUCUUUUAUUUUUCAAGUAACCUUA
rnacentral:lncRNA from 1 species